GAUGAACGCUGGCGGCGUGCCUAAUACAUGCAAGUCGAGCGAACGGACGAGAAGCUUGCUUCUCUGAUGUUAGCGGCGGACGGGUGAGUAACACGUGGAUAACCUACCUAUAAGACUGGGAUAACUUCGGGAAACCGGAGCUAAUCCCGGAUAAUAUUUUGAACCGCAUGGUUCAAAAGUGAAAGACGGUCUUGCUAUCACUUAUAGAUGGAUCCGCGCUGCAUUAGCUAGUUGGUAAGGUAACGGCUUACCAAGGCAACGAUGCAUAGCCGACCUGAGAGGGUGAUCGGCCACACUGGAACUGAGACACGGUCCAGACUCCUACGGGAGGCAGCAGUAGGGAAUCUUCCGCAAUGGGCGAAAGCCUGACGGAGCAACGCCGCGUGAGUGAUGAAGGUCUUCGGAUCGUAAAACUCUGUUAUUAGGGAAGAACAUAUGUGUAAGUAACUGUGCACAUCUUGACGGUACCUAAUCAGAAAGCCACGGCUAACUACGUG
rnacentral:rRNA from 1 species